rnacentral:rRNA from 1 species
GAUGAACGCUGGCGGCAGGCUUAACACAUGCAAGUCGAACGGGUGUAGCAAUACAUCAGUGGCAGACGGGUGAGUAACACGUGGGAACCUUCCUAGGGGUACGGAACAACUCAGGGAAACUUGAGCUAAUACCGUAUACGCUCUUGCGAGGAAAGAUUUAUCGCCCUUAGACGGGCCCGCGUAGGAUUAGCUAGUUGGUGGGGUAAUGGCCUACCAAGGCGACGAUCCUUAGCUGAUCUGAGAGGAUGACCAGCCACACUGGGACUGAGACACGGCCCAGACUCCUACGGGAGGCAGCAGUGGGGAAUCUUGGACAAUGGGCGCAAGCCUGAUCCAGCCAUGCCGCGUGAGUGAAGAAGGCCUUAGGGUUGUAAAGCUCCUUUAUCAGGGAAGAUAAUGACGGUACCUGAAGAAUAAGCCCCGGCAAACUUCGUGCCAGCAGCCGCAGUAAAAC